GUCCCCGUAGCCCAAACCCGGAAGAGGCACCGGCUUAAACCCGGAAUCGGUGCGGGUUCAAAUCCCGCCGGGGACA
rnacentral:tRNA from 1 species